ACGAACGCUGGCGGCGUGCUUAACACAUGCAAGUCGAACGGAAAGGCCCUGCUUUUGUGGGGUGCUCGAGUGGCGAACGGGUGAGUAAUACGUGAGUAACCUGCCCUUGACUUUGGGAUAACUUCAUGAAACUGGGGCUAAUACCGGAUAGGAGCUCCUGCUGCAUGGUGGGGGUUGGAAAGUUUCGGCGGUUGGGGAUGGACUUGCGGCUUAUCAGCUUGUUGGUGGGGUAGUGGCUUACCAAGGCUUUGACGGGUAGCCGGCCUGAGAGGUUGACCGGCGACAUUGGGACUGAGAUACGGCCCAGACUGCUACGGGAGGCAGCAGUGGGGAAUAUUGCACAAUGGGCGGAAGCCUGAUGCAACAACGCCGCGUGCGGGAUGACGGCCUUCUGGUUGAAAACCGCUGUCGCCUGUGACGAAGCGUGAGUGACGGUAAUGAGUAAAGAAGCACCGGCUAACUACGUG
rnacentral:rRNA from 1 species